AGCAGCGUGGCUCAGUGGAAAGAGCACGGGCUUGGGAGUCAGAGAUCACGGGUUCGAAUCCCGGCUCUGCCA
rnacentral:tRNA from 1 species